GUGAAUACAUGCCAUGCGAGGCGAACCGGGGGAACUGAAACAUCUAAGUACCCCGAGGAAAAGAAAUCAACCGAGAUUCCCCCAGUAGCGGCGAGCGAACGGGGAAGAGCCCAGAGUCUGAAUCAGUUGGUGUGUUAGUGGAAGCGUCUGGAAAGUCGCACGGUACAGGGUGAUAGUCCCGUACACAAAAACACACUGGCUGUGAACUCGAUGAGUAGGGCGGGACACGUGACAUCCUGUCUGAAUAUGGGGGGACCAUCCUCCAAGGCUAAAUACUCCUGACUGACCGAUAGUGAACCAGUACCGUGAGGGAAAGGCGAAA
rnacentral:rRNA from 1 species